GGGGAUAUAGCUCAGUUGGUAGAGUGCUUGCCUAGCAUGCAAAUAGUCCCUGGGUUCAAUCCUUAGCACCA
rnacentral:tRNA from 1 species